UCUGCAGCAUCAGAGUGAAGAAACCAAAUGCUGCGGUGGAGGUUGGGUCGUGUAAACGAAUUGAGGGAUGCAGAUCGGAGAGGGAGGAAACUAGUUCAGUCGGCUUCCAUUCUUGGAAGGAACUAGGUGGUGAAAGGAAAGAUAGAGAAAGAAGACUUUGGCCAGAGAAUUUCCUACGCUGGAAAGAAUUCAACAGCAAAGAAAAGUAUUUCUC
rnacentral:lncRNA from 1 species